CCAGACUCCUACGGGAGGCAGCAGUCGGGAAUAUUGCGCAAUGGAGGAAACUCUGACGCAGUGACGCCGCGUAUAGGAAGAAGGUCUUCGGAUUGUAAACUAUUGUCGUUAGGGAAGAAAAAGGACAGUACCUAAGGAGGAAGCUCCGGCUAACUACGUGCCAGCAGCCGCGGUAAUACGUAGGGAGCAAGCGUUAUCCGGAUUUAUUGGGUGUAAAGGGUGCGUAGACGGGAUAAUAAGUUAGUUGUGAAAUCCCUCGGCUCAACUGAGGAACUGCAACUAAAACUGUUAUUCUUGAGUGUUGGAGAGGAAAGCGGAAUUCCUAGUGUAGCGGUGAAAUGCGUAGAUAUUAGGAGGAACACCAGUGGCGAAGGCGGCUCUCUGGACUGUAACUGACACUGAGGCACGAAAGCGUGGGGAGCAAACAGGAUUAGAUACCCCCGUA
rnacentral:rRNA from 1 species